AUAUAUGGAUAUAUAUAUAUUGUCUGUUUUGAAGUGGAACACUGUUGAACACAAAAUAUUCUAGAAAUAAAGUUAUUUCUAUAGCAUUUCUUAAGAAGUAAAGAUGCUCAGUGUUACUAUUUACACUAUCAUAACUUGAAACUUAACUCUAGAUUUUAGUAGUAUUUCCUUUGGCAAUUAUUAUUAUUAAGGUAGUGAGCUGGCAGAGUUGUUAGCACAUCACAUGAAAUGCUUAGCAGUAUUUCAUCUGCCUUUAACAUUCUAAGUUCAAAUUCCACUGAGGUCGACUUUGCCUUUUCAUCCUUUUGGGGUAUGUAAAAUAAGUACCAGUUGAGUACUGGGGUCGAUGUAAUUGACUAUCCUCCUUCCCCAAAUUUCAGGCCUUGUAUCUAUAGUAGAAAGGAUUAUUAUUAUUAUUACUUCAAGUUACCUAAUUCUCAAUAGUUAUCACUGCUACUUUUAUUUGAGUAGUUUGCAGUAUAAAAAGUAUUUGAUUAUUAAAAAAUAUUGCUCUGUAAGUAUGUAAAUAUCUAAAAUCAUUUAAAGCUAUCAUUAGACAUACUAACUUGGCAAAAAAUGGGAAAUGUUCAAAUAAAAAUAGAAAAACAAGAUUUUUUUCUAAAAGAGUUUCUUCACAAUAAAUUUGUUAAAUUAGAAAGCUUGUCUGUUUGUUUGAUUAGUUCUUGUUUUCUAUUUUUCAAAACAAAAGUCGUUCGCGUUUAUUUGAAUAUAAUUUAAAUUUCAACAAGUUAAUGCUCCCUAGUUACUUUUUUCAAACUAUGUAGAAUCAAUGAAAUAGUCUUGCUCUUUAAAGCAAUUUGCUGUAGUUUUAGAUUGUUCCUUUGUUUCUGAUUUAUAGUAAGAUGCUCCUCUCUCCUCAACCCACAUUCAUAUCAAAUUGGUCCAAUUCCAAAUAAAAGUCAAGAAAAAAUUAGCAACCUAAUUAAUACAAUUUAUUCAAAUUCUUAAGUUUUAUAAUUGCUUUUAUUUAUUUUACUUAAUAAUUUUUGAUAGUUAACUUUACUAUAAUCACUUUUACAAUAAUAAAAUAUAAGUAUAUAAAUUUACUUACUUUAGACAUGAUGGAACUAUUUAAAUAAUCUUAAAUAUAUUCUGGUAUGUAUGUAAAAAUUAACUUUAUUAUGUGCACAUAAUAUUAAUAGAUAAUAAUAUUUUCUUAAUUUAACUGUUAUGUUUUUGCUUUAAACUUCUUUUUCCAAACCAAGAUUUAAUGUUUUUUUUUUAACAGUUAAGUUUUUAUUUCAAAAAUGCUUAUUUAGUAAAAAUGUUUUAAAUGUGUUUUCUUGUUAAGUUUUCUUUCUUUUGUUUUUAAUUUCUUCAUAGUGUAAUUUAAAGAGUUUUUCUUCUGAACCAAUAUAUUUUUUUCCUACGAGAUGCUUUAAUUAUAUACUUUAUUUGGAAUUUGCCUUUAGCAUCACAUCUAUUAAAAGAAAAAAAAAAGUAAUGAGGAGAGAACAGAAAAAACCUUGAAUAGAUUUGAUUGAUGAUGCAAGUUUUUAGUUAUUUAACAAAGCAAAAAAAAAAAAAAAGGAAGAAACCUAGAAAAAUAUCUUCACAAAAUUUUUAAAGAAAAAUUUUAACUGCAAGUUGAAUAAUCUAAAAAUAAAUUAUAAUGAUAAGAUUUAUAUAUUAUAUAUUUCUGUACUUAUAUGUAUAUAUAUAUAUAAUUUAGUAACAUUUAUCUUGGUUAAAUUCUUAAAGUUAUAUUUACAUUUAUUUUCAUGUAAAUUUUUUUUCUUCCGAUUUUAUAAUAAUAAUAAUUGUUAUCAAUAAAGAUUUCUUAGCAUGCUGAAAUAUAUCUU
rnacentral:lncRNA from 1 species